UACGUAGGUGGCGAGCGUUGUUCGGAUUUAUUGGGCGUAAAGCGCGUGUAGGCGGUUUCUUAAGUCUGAUGUGAAAGCCCUGGGCUCAACCCAGGAAGUGCAUUGGAUACUGGGAGACUUGAAUACGGGAGAGGGUAGUGGAAUUCCUAGUGUAGGAGUGAAAUCCGUAGAUAUUAGGAGGAACACCGGUGGCGAAGGCGGCUACCUGGACCGAUAUUGACGCUGAGACGCGAAAGCGUGGGGAGCAAACAGG
rnacentral:rRNA from 1 species